AUUGAACGCUGGCGGCAUGCUUUACACAUGCAAGUCGAACGGGGUGAAGGGGCAACUCUUCAUUCAGUGGCGUACGGGUGAGUAAUGCAUCGGAACGUACCUCGUAGUGGGGGAUAACUCGGCGAAAGCCGUGCUAAUACCGCAUAUGCUCUACGGAGGAAAGCAGGGGACCUGAGAGGGCCUUGUGCUAUGGGAGCGGCCGAUGUCCGAUUAGCUAGUGGUGGGGUAAUGGCCUACCAAGGCGACGAUCGGUAGCUGGUCUGAGAGGAUGAUCAGCCACACUGGGACUGAGACACGGCCCAGACUCCUACGGGAGGCAGCAGUGGGGAAUUUUGGACAAUGGGGGCAACCCUGAUCCAGCCAUGCCGCGUGCGGGAAG
rnacentral:rRNA from 1 species